rnacentral:rRNA from 1 species
UGACUGCGUACCUUUUGUAUAAUGGGUCAGCGACUUAUAUUCUGUAGCAAGGUUAACCGUAUAGGGGAGCCGGAGGGAAACCGAGUCUUAACUGGGCGUUAAGUUGCAGGGUAUAGACCCGAAACCCGGUGAUCUAGCCAUGGGCAGGUUGAAGGUUGGGUAACACUAACUGGAGGACCGAACCGACUAAUGUUGAAAAAUUAGCGGAUGACCUGUGGCUGGGGGUGAAAGGCCAAUCAAACCGGGAGAUAGCUGGUUCUCCCCGAAAGCUAUUUAGGUAGCGCCUCGUGAAUUCAUCUCCGGGGGUAGAGCACUGUUUCGGCUAGGGGGCCAUCCCGGCUUACCAACCCGAUGCAAACUGCGAAUACCGGAGAAUGUUAUCACGGGAGACACACGGCGGGUGCUAACGUCCGUCGUGAAGAGGGAAACAACCCAGACCGCCAGCUAAGGUCCCAAAGUCAUGGUUAAGUGGGAAACGAUGUGGGAAGGCCCAGACAGCCAGGAUGUUGGCUUAGAAGCAGCCAUCAUUUAAAGAAAGCGUAAUAGCUCACUGGUCGAGUCGGCCUGCGCGGAAGAUGUAACGGGGCUAAACCAUGCACCGAAGCUGCGGCAGCGACGCUGAUGCGUUGUUGGGUAGGGGAGCGUUCUGUAAGCCUGUGAAGGUGGCCUGUGAGGGUUGCUGGAGGUAUCAGAAGUGCGAAUGCUGACAUAAGUAACGAUAAAGCGGGUGAAAAGCCCGCUCGCCGGAAGACCAAGGGUUCCUGUCCAACGUUAAUCGGGGCAGGGUGAGUCGACCCCUAAGGCGAGGCCGAAAGGCGUAGUCGAUGGGAAACGGGUUAAUAUUCCCGUACUUGGUGUUACUGCGAAGGGGGGACGGAGAAGGCUAUGUUGGCCGGGCGACGGUUGUCCCGGUUUAAGCGUGUAGGUGUGUGUUCCAGGUAAAUCCGGUUCACUUUAACACUGAGGCGUGAUGACGAGGCACUACGGUGCUGAAGCAACAAAUGCCCUGCUUCCAGGAAAAGCCUCUAAGCAUCAGGUAACAUCAAAUCGUACCCCAAACCGACACAGGUGGUCAGGUAGAGAAUACCAAGGCGCUUGAGAGAACUCGGGUGAAGGAACUAGGCAAAAUGGUGCCGUAACUUCGGGAGAAGGCACGCUGACACGUAGGUGAAGUGAUUUACUCACGGAGCUGAAGUCAGUCGAAGAUACCAGCUGGCUGCAACUGUUUAUUAAAAACACAGCACUGUGCAAACACGAAAGUGGACGUAUACGGUGUGACGCCUGCCCGGUGCCGGAAGGUUAAUUGAUGGGGUCAGCGCAAGCGAAGCUCCUGAUCGAAGCCCCGGUAAACGGCGGCCGUAACUAUAACGGUCCUAAGGUAGCGAAAUUCCUUGUCGGGUAAGUUCCGACCUGCACGAAUGGCGUAAUGAUGGCCAGGCUGUCUCCACCCGAGACUCAGUGAAAUUGAACUCGCUGUGAAGAUGCAGUGUACCCGCGGCAAGACGGAAAGACCCCGUGAACCUUUACUAUAGCUUGACACUGAACAUUGAGCCUUGAUGUGUAGGAUAGGUGGGAGGCUUUGAAGUGUGGACGCCAGUCUGCAUGGAGCCGACCUUGAAAUACCACCCUUUAAUGUUUGAUGUUCUAACGUGGACCCGUAAUCCGGGUUGCGGACAGUGUCUGGUGGGUAGUUUGACUGGGGCGGUCUCCUCCUAAAGAGUAACGGAGGAGCACGAAGGUUGGCUAAUCCUGGUCGGACAUCAGGAGGUUAGUGCAAUGGCAUAAGCCAGCUUGACUGCGAGCGUGACGGCGCGAGCAGGUGCGAAAGCAGGUCAUAGUGAUCCGGUGGUUCUGAAUGGAAGGGCCAUCGCUCAACGGAUAAAAGGUACUCCGGGGAUAACAGGCUGAUACCGCCCAAGAGUUCAUAUCGACGGCGGUGUUUGGCACCUCGAUGUCGGCUCAUCACAUCCUGGGGCUGAAGUAGGUCCCAAGGGUAUGGCUGUUCGCCAUUUAAAGUGGUACGCGAGCUGGGUUUAGAACGUCGUGAGACAGUUCGGUCCCUAUCUGCCGUGGGCGCUGGAGAACUGAGGGGGGCUGCUCCUAGUACGAGAGGACCGGAGUGGACGCAUCACUGGUGUUCGGGUUGUCAUGCCAAUGGCACUGCCCGGUAGCUAAAUGCGGAAGAGAUAAGUGCUGAAAGCAUCUAAGCACGAAACUUGCCCCGAGAUGAGUUCU